UACGGAGGGUGCGAGCGUUGUUCGGAAUCACUGGGCGUAAAGGGCGUGUAGGCGGUCCGCUAAGUCUGAUGUGAAAGCCCGGGGCUCACCCCCGGAAGUGCAUUGGAAACUGGCGGACUCGAGUCCCGGAGAGGAGAUUGGAAUUCCUGGUGUAGCGGUGAAAUGCGUAGAUAUCAGGAGGAACACCGGUGGCGAAGGCGGCUCUCUGGACGGUGACUGACGCUGAGACGCGAAAGCGUGGGGAGCAAACAGG
rnacentral:rRNA from 1 species